rnacentral:rRNA from 1 species
AACCGGGAUUCUAUAAGUAAUGGCGAAUGAACAUAGACAGGUCAUCAUCGAAUUCCUCUACAUUACGUAGGUGGAGGGUGUGAUGUUGGUGCUGUUCGUGUAUUGUGCCAGCUUGCAAUGUAAGUUUGAUUGAACGUGACAUACCCAGAGAGGGUGAAAGGCCCGUUACUUUGCAUGACUGGCAUUCAUACGGCGGCGUUAGAGUAGAAUUGCUUGAGAAUGCAGUUCGAAUGUUGUGUGGCAAACCCCAUAAAAGCCUAAAUAUGGCUGCGAGACCGAUAGCGAACAAGUACCUUGAGGGAAAGUUGAAAAGCACUCUGAAAAGAGAGUUCAUAAGUGCGUGCAACUGUACUCUGCAAAGCGAAUGAUUGGGUGAUUCGAGAUACCGUCAUUCAGGUGACUCUUGGAAUUAAAACUUUCGGGAGGCACUGCAUUUGAAGGUUCUCAAAGUUGCUUGGUGUGCUUAUGGUAGCGCGUUGUUGUGUCGGAGUGGAACAUCUCAUGAUGUAUCCAUGAGCACAGCGGCGUCGGGUUGAAGCGAUUUGACUGCUACUAUCGGCACACUGCAACAAAAUGGCUAGACUUGAUGGAACCGUGUGGUGUGCAAGGGCCUGCUAGGGCUUUUGACAUGCUUGCGGGAAACAUGUUCGAUAGUUCUGUAAGAGCAACG